rnacentral:rRNA from 1 species
GAUGAACGCUGGCGGCGUGCCUAACACAUGCAAGUCGAGCGAUUUACUUCGGUAAAGAGCGGCGGACGGGUGAGUAACGCGUGGGUAACCUGCCUCAUACACAUGGAUAACAUACCGAAAGGUAUGCUAAUACAAGAUGAUAUAAGAGAUUCGCAUGGAUUUCUUAUCAAAGCUCCGGCGGUAUGAGAUGGACCCGCGUCUGAUUAGCUAGUUGGUAAGGUGACGGCUUACCAAGGCGACGAUCAGUAGCCGACCUGAGAGGGUGAUCGGCCACAUUGGAACUGAGACACGGUCCAAGCUCCUACGGGAGGCAGCAGUGGGGAAUAUUGCACAAUGGGCGAAAGCCUGAUGCAGCAACGCCGCGUGAGCGAUGAAGGCCUUCGGGUCGUAAAGCUCUGUCCUCAAGGAAGAUAAUGACGGUACUUGAGGAGGAAGCCCCGGCUAACUACGUGCCAGCAGCCGCGGUAAUAC